rnacentral:rRNA from 1 species
CUGCAGAGAUGCGGGAGUGCCUUCGGGAAUCAAAACACAGGUGCUGCAUGGCUGUCGUCAGCUCGUGUCGUGAGAUGUUGGGUUAAGUCCCGCAACGAGCGCAACCCUUGUCCUUAGUUGCCAGCACGUAAUGGUGGGAACUCUAGGGAGACUGCCGGUGACAAACCGGAGGAAGGGGGGGAUGACGUCAAGUCAUCAGGGCCCUUACGGCCGGGGCUACACACUUACUACAAUGGUCGGUACAGAGGGUUGCAAUACCGCGAGGUGGAGCCAAUCCCA